GACGAACGCUGGCGGCGUGCUUAACACAUGCAAGUCGAACGGAAAGGCCCUGCUUUUGUGGGGUGCUCGAGUGGCGAACGGGUGAGUAACACGUGAGUAACCUGCCCUUGACUUUGGGAUAACUUCAGGAAACUGGGGCUAUUACCGGAUAGGUGCUCCUGCUGCCUGGUGGGGGUUGGAAAGUUUCGGCGGUUGGGGAUGGACUCGCGGCUUAUCAGCUUGUUGGUGGGGUUGUGGCUUACCAAGGCUUUGACGGGUAGCCGGCCUGAGAGGGUGACCGGCCACAUUGGGACUGAGAUACGGCCCAGACUCCUACGGGAGGCAGAAGUGGGGAAUAUUGCACAAUGGGCGGAAGCCUGAUGCAGCAACGCCGCGUGCGGGAUGACGGCCUUCGGGUUGUAAACCGCUUUCGCCUGUGACGAAGCGUGAGUGACGGUAAUGGGUAAAGAAGCACCGGCUAACUACGUG
rnacentral:rRNA from 1 species